rnacentral:rRNA from 1 species
UACGGAGGAUCCGAGCGUUAUCCGGAUUUAUUGGGUUUAAAGGGUGCGCAGGCGGGGGAUUAAGUCGGCGGUGAAAUUUUGCAGCUCAACUGUAAAAGUGCCUUCGAAACUGGUUUCCUUGAGUGUAGAUGAAGUAGGCGGAAUGUGUAGUGUAGCGGUGAAAUGCAUAGAUAUUACACAGAACACCGAUUGCGAAGGCAGCUUACUAAUCCAUCAUUGACGCUGAGGCACGAAAGCGUGGGGAUCAAACAGGAUUAGAUACCCCGGUAGU